rnacentral:rRNA from 1 species
CCUACGGGUGGCUGCAGUGGGGAAUAUUGGGCAAUGGAGGCAACUCUGACCCAGCAACGCCGCGUGAGCGAUGAAGGUCUUCGGAUUUUAAAGCUCUUUCGCAGGGGACGAAGUAUGACGGUACCCUGUAAGAAAGCCCCGGCAAAAUACGUGACAGCAGCCGCGGUAAUACGUAGGGGGCUAGCGUUGUCCGGAAUUACUAGGCGUAAAGGGAGUGUAGACGGCUUGUCAAGUUAAGUGGGAAAGCCUGCGGCUUAACCGCAGAAUUGCAGUUAAAACUGACUCGCUAGAGUGCAGGAGAGGUGAGUGGAAUGCGUAGUGUAGCGGUGGAAUGCGUAGAUAUUAGGAGGAACACCAGAGGCGAAGGCGGCUCACCGGACUGUAACUGACGUUGAGGCUCGAAAGCGUGGGGAGCAAACAGGAUUAGAUACCCGGGUAGUC